rnacentral:rRNA from 1 species
GACAGAGGGUGCAAACGUUGUUCGGAAUUACUGGGCGUAAAGCGCAUGUAGGCGGCUACGCAAGUCGGGCGUGAAAUCCCACGGCUCAACCGUGGAAGUGCACUCGAAACUGCGUAGCUAGAGUCCUGGAGAGGAAGGUGGAAUGCUUGGUGUAGAGGUGAAAUUCGUAGAUAUCAAGCGGAACACCGGUGGCGAAGGCGGCCUUCUGGACAGUGACUGACGCUGAGAUGCGAAAGCGUGGGGAGCAAACGGG